UUAUCAGUAAAUUUCACUCAUAUUGUUGAUAAAGUGAUUUUACCAAUAUAUGGGUAAAAAUAUUUACCCAUAUUUGGGUGAAAAAAAAUUAGUGUUCGCGUGUUUGUUUUCAUCGUUUUCAUAAAACUAAAGAAAACAUAAAACAUGUCCAGAUUGAAUUUAUUUCGGUCGUCUGGCUGAACAUUAUGACGGUACUGAGCAUGAGAAGUCACAAGAGGCUCGGACCAAUCUGAACCUCCCGGGAACCAAUGGAGUAUCUGCACCCGUUGCAUAAACAGCCGCGGAAACGGACACCUUCAACAACAUCGCAAAUAAAUCCUGCCGGAUCUCCAGCUGCGACCGCUCCGACAAUAAGACACCUGUCUAGAUGCUGCAUUCCAAACCUUUUGCGGUCUACUCUAGGAAUACGGGAAGAAGGUGGGCUAUUUUUUUGUUGCUUCAAGCCAGCGCGCAGUCGGGACCGCAGAUACAACUGCGUCGGUGAUGUAACCGCAGCCAGUGUGCUCCUCAGUGAAGUGGACAACUCACAAUGCCACCAUCAAACAGAACUUUAGCCCCCGGAUUUUCAACACAGUGAAAUGCGAAUGUUAGCCUAUAAUCUUUGAAUCAGUAUCCUUGCACCGAUACCCUCCUAUCAGUAUUCAACCCCCGGACCCACCAAGUACCGUUGAGGAACUACCGACACCCGUGAUUAAACACACCCAUGUACAAGCAGCAAACCUGAGUAUCCGGAAGCACUCCUACCACGGUGUAAUUUCCGGCUCCUGCAGUUAUAUGAGCGAACUUAUGUUGGUGCAGACCAACCAUUAUUGUAUUAUAUUUAUUUUGUUAAAAAUUAUAUUUUUUUGUUAUAAUAAAAUGACAGAUAUUAUGAUUAUUUUUAAAAGUAAUAUGUUUUUAUUAGAAAAAGUAAGAAUGGCUCCAAACAAAAAAAAAAUCACCCAAAUUUGGGUAAAGUUUACCAAUAAAUCAUCUCCAUUCAACUACCUAUAUAUGGGUAAACUCAGUUUACUCAUAUUUGAGUGUUGACCAUUUCACCCAUAUCUACACUCAGAAAUAAAUUUAUACUAAAUAGGUUAGAAGUCAUACUAACUGACUAUUCGCCUGGUUGACCCCAAACUCGUAUAUGAUCCAACAAUACCGCGAUAGUAUAACCAGGAACUAAUAACCGGGACGUGAGUGUCCCGAAGAACCGAUUAAAAAUUCAUGCAACCCACGAAGAGCUGACGAGACCAGCACCGCCAGAGGCGCUAGUGUAUUUUACUCAAAUUUGGAUAAAUUUAUUUGAAAGUGUUUUGUUCUGUGUAGACUUAUUUUUUCGCAUUUUGUUGUGAGUUUUGUUUAUGUUUACGUUCCAGUUUUUCAUCAUUGUUUUUCUGUGCUCCCGGCCGAUCAAAAAUUUUCUAAAUUUUUCAAUUUUUUUUCAAAAUUAAAAUCCUCUAGCCUCCUUCCGCCAGUUCGGGCGCAUUUAUCGUGCAUAUUGUGACCGAGUCUUAUAAAUAGACGAAAUGCAUAAAAAAAACAAAUCCGUUAGCGGUAGCCCUAGCAUGGAGGAGGACUGUUCCAUUUUGUCAGCGGUGAACGAAGCAGCGGCAAUUCUCGUCGGAAUCAUUGAAAUUUUUCCAGGAGUUCCUAAAGGAUUCUCAUCGAAAUCCCUAAAGAAACGGAGGAAAGACUGAAGAAGCCGACGGUGCAGGUGUUUGUCUCGAUUUUGAGUGAAUUUCACGGUGACUGGAAGAAGUUUCAUGAUGAUGUUUUUGAGGAAGAUAUGUUUUGUGUUGCAGUUAUCCAGCAAUCCACUCUGGAUGGGUUCGUUCAGGAGGAGAUGUGGAUGAUAGUGGACAGCGACGGCUCGGAUUUCAUAUCGGGCUCAAGAAGUUUUUCGCGCAUUAACUGAUUGGAAGUUGAACUGCAGUCUACGGUUAGACGAAGAGGAGAUAUACAAUGUUGAAGUCGAUCGCAUUUGGAUAUGUUGCUGGGAAAUGGACUAGUGCACAUACGAUGCAGUGUGCCAGCCAAGAGGUUGGCAUGACUGAUAAAGCACACCGUAUUCUACGUGAGAAAUGUUGUGCUACGAAAGCGCACGAAAUUGUUUGGAGUUGAAUUGGUCCGUGCCGCACAGUACAUUUUUCGAUUACGGAAGACCGGUAUGUGGCAGUUCCUGACGGGGUUCGAUUAACUACAUAUGAAUAUACGCUGUGGAAACUUUGCCUGCAGUUCGACUAACUCAACAUGAAGUUGAUCAGCAAUUAAUAAUUUGCGUUGGUGAUCAUCAGAAGGAGAAAUUCAGAAAUGAUUUAGUAAGGAUACCACCGAAGGAUUUGUACUAUUUGCUACAGGUGUUUUCUAACAUAGCUCGCUAGGGAGAUUAACGGCAUCGAGUUCAUACUGACGAUUGUGUUAAAUCUAUUUGACGGGACUUUAUGACAUUUAUGUCAAUUUAAUUGAUUAUCAAAUAAGAUCGAUUGUCUAAACGAAUAUGCCGAAGACUUCAGCUGCAAUUCGGUGAAGGAUCUGCUUUAUAAUAUCGUGUUUAAGCAUAACUCAAAUUCAUUCACGAAAAAAUGUUACUAAGGUCCUUUUGACAAAAUAAGCGAGCAUUCCUCGUUGGUGUCUCUGCUGCAGCCAGUGAAGAAGGAUAUAAAUAUUUAGCGCGAGCAGGAUAAAUUUGGCGCUGGAGCACACAGUGGAAUGACUUUAAGCUGCUCGUCAACUGGUUACUAAACAACAGGUUCACCACCAUUCAAAAUUCAACUGCACAAGUGAUUCUGAUCCAUUUGUUGACCUAAUCAACAAGUAAUUCCACUCACGACAUACACAUCAGUUGCAUGUCUCGAUACAAAAGUCUAAAAAACACGUACCAGACGUCUCGGAAGCCUACAAGGUAUUAUUGAAAGUCUCAAUUUGAGACCAAUACUGCACAGGAGAAAUGGUGUUGUUAAAUGAUCAGACUACUGCGGCGUUACUGCAUGGACCAGAGUGUUGAGAUCAACAACGGAAUGAUGAAAAACCUUGCACUGGUUCUGCGCCACAUACUCGAAUUGUAACGCGCCUAACAGAUCUAAUACGACGUGAUCGUAAAUCGUCCAAUAGAUAUCGACUUUGCAAUUCUCAUCAACACAUGGAUUCAGUGCCGAAAACCUACCACAAAAGGUUGGAACAAAUUCGAUUACUGUUUAAUGACCACCGGUAAAUGGUGGUUGUUCGAAGUCUACAGCUUAUUACGCUACUGUUCCUCGAGUGCUCCGAAAGUUCGAAUGAAGCGAAAACGCAAACUAGAACCAUUACUUCUGACAGACGUUCCAAUCGAUGUCCACGGUGAAGAGGAUUUAGACCUCGGUGAACGGUCGAUAUCUAUUUUCUCAGUACGUCGAUUUUCAAUUUUCCCUGAACCAGAAUGACCAAUGCACGAACUAUCCGCUAUUGCAGCGCUACGCCAAGUCUCAAGCCGAUUUGAACGCCCUGUGUCGGAAGUACAAAGUGCUGGUCACCGAACAGUAGAUAAUGCGGGACAAAACUUUGAUCGCGACGAAUGCAUUAAGUGACGGGAAGAAAAAAUAGUCGGGAAGCGCUGCAGUUCUCCAGCAAUCCACUGAGUUCAGGUGCAAUCUGAAGGAUUCGAUGAAGCAGUUGUGCUCCCAAUGUGACCCAUCCUCGGACCCAUCCACGUACGAAGUAAUCGCAACCCGAAAAAUCUACGAGACUCAAGGCCUUCAUCCACUGCUCUGCAUUCUUCCGCCCAAUGCGCCCGUGUUGCUAAAUCCUACGUUUCCGUAGUCCGUGUCCGACCCAACUGGUCGCCCCAAUUAAAUUUCCAUUAUGUUCGCAUUCCUACGAAAAGACAUCACCGACAAGCGCUUCUCAACGGACGCUCGUAGUAUGAUGAUUGAUGGUGAAGCUGGCUGCCACCUAACCAUCACAACUAGGCACAAUCAUCCGUUUGUAUGCUGUUAAACGUCCUGUGAAGUCCUAUCGGGAUCGCAAACAGGGCGACUGCACUGGUACAACUGCCCAUCGAGGGAUAAUGGAUCUGCUGCUGCUGCCGAUAAGAAAACGAAACGAAUUUCUCGAACAGCUGAAACUGGACACGAUCCGCGCGAUUGAACCGGGUAAACAUGAACCGCUCGGUUGUUCUGGAGGUGGUUGUGGACAGCGAUGGGGUAUAGACAUCUUUCGAUUGCGGAAGAUCGGUACGUGGCAGUACUUGACAGGGUUUGCUUC